GACGAACGCUGGCGGCGUGCUUAACACAUGCAAGUCGAACGGAAAGGCAGUGCUUUUGUGGGGUGCUCGGGUGGGGGACGGGGGAGUAAGACGUGAGUAUCCUGCCCUUGACUUUCGGAUAAGUUAAGGAAAGGAGGGCUACUACCGUAUCGCAGACGCUGCUGGGGUGUGGGCGGUGGAAAGUUUCAGCGGUUGGGGUUGGACUGGCGGAUUAUCGGCUUGUUGGUGGGGGAGGGGCUGACCAAGGCUUUGACGGAUAGGCGGCCUGAGAGGGUGACCGGGGACAUGGGGACUGAGAGACGGCGCAGACUGCUACGGGAGGCAGUAGGGGGGAACAUGGCACAGUGGGAGCAAGCCUGAGGCAGCAACGUUGCGGGUGGGAUGACGGCUUUUGGGGAGAAAACCGCUGCAGGUUGAUACGAAGCGGUAGUGACGGUAACGGGUAAAGAAGCACCGGCUAACUUCGUG
rnacentral:rRNA from 1 species